rnacentral:rRNA from 1 species
CUUGCUAAGUUUGAUGGCGACCGGCGCACGGGUGAGUAACACGUAUCCAACCUGCCGAUAACUCGGGGAUAGCCUUUCGAAAGAAAGAUUAAUACCCGAUGGCAUAAUAGAACCGCAUGGUUUGAUUAUUAAAGAAUUUCGGUUAUCGAUGGGGAUGCGUUCCAUUAGGUUGUUGGCGGGGUAACGGCCCACCAAGCCUUCGAUGGAUAGGGGUUCUGAGAGGAAGGUCCCCCACAUUGGAACUGAGACACGGUCCAAACUCCUACGGGAGGCAGCAUG